AGGGGAGUCGCCAAGUUGGUUAAGGCAACGGAUUUUGAUUCCGUCAUGCGAAGGUUCGAAUCCUUCUUCCCCUGCCA
rnacentral:tRNA from 2 species